ACUUUCUUUUUUAUCUUAUGCAUCUAAAAAUACUACAAGAAGGUUGGGAAGUAUUCUAUGAGUAAGGAAAAUAGUUAUUGGGUAUUUUCUUAUAUCGUUGGAAUGAUUUUUAAUGUGUGCAUGCUUGCUGGAAAUUUCUUUUGGAUUGCUUAGAAGAGUUUAUCAAUAGCUGCAAUUGAUUUUUGGUUGAAGAUUCUUUAGUGGAUUACAAGCUUAUGGAUAUUUGUACAAUUUACAGCAACUUCUUGUGGGUAUUUUGAUAAGAAUAGCAUGCCAUAUGUUUGUGGAUAUUUCUGAUUGAGUUCAAAACCCAUCUUGCAUGUUGAUAUAGCUCUAUUUACUUCUAAAAAUCUUAAAGAUCCAUUGUAUUUGGGCCAGCAAUUGGUAUCAAAGCGGGUUUUCAAUUUGUAUCGAAAUUGGCUAAUCCUAGAGCUGUAUUGACUGAUAAGUUUGAUGGCUAUAAUUUCUCACUUUGAAAAAGUAAAGUGUCUUAUUUGUUGCAUACUAUGGGUUUGUUGUAUGUACUUGACGAAGAAAUCAUAACUGAACCUGAUGAUGACUCCACACUUAGAGAGAGACAAAGAUACUUGAAAUGGAAAAAUGAUAAUUUUACAUGUAAAGGUGCCAUUUUGAAUUGCCUUAGUGAUAGAUUGCAUAAUGUCUUUGAACCCUACACUAAUGCUAAAGACUUAUGGGAGGCUAUUGAGAAAAGGCACACUGAGGACAAUUAUAUGGCAAAACACGAACUUUAUGAAAGAUAUAACCAACAUAAAAUGAGAGAGAACCAAUUGGUGCUGGAAUUUUUUGAUGACAAGAUUGUUAUGGUUAACUAACUUGCUGGAUAUGGAGAACCCAUAUCUGAGUGUCAUCAAAUCAUGAAGAUAAUUGAAAAUCUCUCUUUUUCAUGGAAAGACCUUAAGAAAAACUUGCGUCACAAUGGUACCAUCCAUACCCUUGAUGAUUUAAGAAGACAUCUUAGGAUGGAAGAGAAUGAUAGAGCUAAAGAGAAAAACGAAAGAGCCCAUCAACAGGCUUAUUUGGCUACUCAAAAAAGGUAUGCUAGACCCAAUCUCUCUCUCUUCAUACCUGGUCCCUUGAUCCCAAUACUUACCCCGAUAAAAUAAAUUUAAGCAAACCCUUCCUCUCACUUGUUGGCCUCUAAAAAUCUCACCCAAGAGGCUCAAAAACAUGAUCAAUCAACAACAAAAUGUGGACUUAGCCUUACAAUUUUUCGACUAUGCUGGGAACUAUCACCCCAAUUUCUCGUAUAAUUCUGACACUUAUCACACAAUCAUUGAAAAAUUAGCCAUGGUUAGGGAUUUCAAUUCCAUGGAAAUUAUCCUAAAUGGUUUGAAGGAUUUGAGAAUUCAAUGCAGGGAGAAAACAUUCAUAGUUUUCCUUCGAAGCUAUGGCUUUGCAAACAAGCCUAAAAUGGCCUUCGAUCCAUUUUCUGGAUGAAUAAGUUUGGGAUAAACAAGUCAUAUAGGUCUUUUAAUACUUUUUUCAAUGCAAUGAUUUAGACCAAAAGAUUUGAUUUGGUUGACAAAUUGUAUGAGUUGCUGGAAAUUUGGGAUAUUUCCUAAUGGUUUUACCUGCAAUAUUUUAAUCAAGGCUUUGUUUCUAAUGAAUGAUUUGGAAUCGGCUUUUAGUGUUUUGGAGGAGAUACCAAGCCAGAGUUUUGUUCAAAACCCUAUAAUUUACCCUACAAUCUUGAGUGGGUUUUGUGCUCGUGGUAAUUUGAUCAGAGCAAAAUGAUUUUUGAUGAGAUUAUAAGCAAAGUUUGGGUCCCUGACCCUGUUACUAGCACAAUUAUGAUUGAUGAGUUCUGUAAAAAAAGAGAUUGAUGGAGGCUGUUAAACUCAUGGAUGAUGUGGACGAAAAUGAGGUUCUUCCAAAUGAUGUCAUGUAUGGUGUAGUCAUUGAAUCUUAUUGUAAAGAGGGGCGAUCAGGUGAGGCUUUAAGCAUUUUGAAUGAAAUUCUCAGGAAGAAGUUUAUACCAUGCCCAACCCUUUGUUGCUCAAAUAUUGACCCUCUAUGUCAAGAAGGCAAGGUUGAUGAGGCUUGUGUGCUAUGGAAGAAGGUCUUGAAGAGGAAUUGGACCCCGGAUAAUGUUAUAUAUAGUAUGCUAUAAGGGUGGAAAACUUAAAGAGGUGAGGAAAGCUUUUGAUGAGUGUGAAUAAGGGUUUUUGUUAAGUAUUUUCAUGGCAAGUGAAAUAGGGCCUAUAGGAAUCCUAUGUAGCAUGCAGUUGGGCUUAGUACAUGCUUCUCUUACCUCUCACCCCCCCCCCUCCAGGGUCCUUUUGCAUUCUUUAAGGUUUUCUCUCUCUCUCUCUCUCUCUCUCUCUCUCUUUCUCUCUCUGAUUUUGAAUAAUGAUAAGCGGGUUGGAUUGUUACCUCUCCAUCUCUUUGCAGUAGAGCCACGUCUCUGAAAAGUUUUCCAAUACUCAUUAAAGUUACAAAUUUUAUUGUAUUAGUUCAAAAAAAUUUUAAAGUUACAAAUUUUAAUUGAAAAGUACUAGGAAAAAUUCUUUGAUUUGUAACUUUUAAUAUUCAUGGAUUUUUAGUUUGUAUUGUCUUGUAUUACAAAUCGAAGAACUUCAACAAAAAAAAUUUCUGGCUAAAAUUUUUUUUUGAUUCAAUCGUUCCAAUAAAAGCAACGGAUGUGGCUGAAAAAUGUUGUUUGGGUGGUUUAGUACCUCGCCAAACCCUUUCCCCCCAUUUUCAAAAGACAAAAUGACCUUCUUGCCCCUGUGUAAGGGUUACAAUUUUUUAAAAAAUGGUGGAGAAAUUAUGUGGCCUGAUGUUGCGAGAGGCGGAUCUGAUGUGGGCGUAUCUCAAAACUGUAUAUGCAGGAAAGUGUGAUGCACUGGGUGGCACAUAGAGCUUGAUGCAGCCGGAUUUUAAAACACUGUACCAGACAUGGGUUGCAGUUAUGUUUUACAGUGAAGUGUUAAUACAUGCAUAAAAGGAAUCCCAUAUUGCAUGUAGUUUCCUUCUAGGAAUUUUUUUUAUAGAAAUUAAUACCAUUGAGCAAAUACCCAUCUCCGAGCACAUCCACAAAAUCAGUGGGGUGUUGACAAUGAUCCAAGAGUCCAUGUGAAGAAACACUGAUACUACAAGGUUUAAUAUUCAAACAGGAAAGAACAUAUUUCAUGACUAAAUAUACAAAAGCACCAUAAAUCUAUUCUUUGAGUAUCAGAUAAUAAAAUCUAUUACAUGAAUAAUACAAAUUGAACUAAAAGACGUUCUAUUGCUCAAGACAAUGCAUAAAGUUAUCUCUGGAAAGAAUACUCAUUCAAAAUAAAAAUGAUAACAGAAUUGACCAAAAAAUUUGAUACACAAUAUUGCUUGAGAACUUGAAAAAAAUCUAUUAUUUCCAUUGACUGAGAUCUCACUAAUCACCUUCAAUGAUCAGCCGAAUCAGAAGAACCAACAGGCUUUAGAGAUUUAGUAUGUAUGCGACAUCCACUUUCACCUCAUUGAUGUAGCUUCAAGAUUCAAACCUGUGAUAGUUAUAAGUGCAUUUGUGUCAAUGGAGAAUUACAGCCUCUUAUGGGUAAAGAAGUGUAAGAGCAUCUCAAUUGUAGGCCAAACAACUAAUCAGCACACUCCAAAAUUCUUCCAAGUGAAUAUUUCCCCCUUUCUCUAUCACUGAUAACUUUGUCCACAAAGUAACCCUAUGAAUCCAAAUCAAGAAGAAAACCACGACUAGUCAUUGCUACAAGUAACUUCAUAAUUUGAUCUCUUGACCCAUGAAACUUAUCCAUUAAAAUGGCAUAAUCCAUCACUUCUUUGGAGGAGAAUGGCUAUUAAAACUCUUUUGACUUGUGCGGUUUAGAUGGAAAAAAAUGAAAAGGUGGUUCAUGUUUUUGGGGAAGGAAAUAAAGUGUGCUUUUGGUUUAUAUAUUAUAUUGUACCUUUUGAAAUGUCAUUGUAUAAUAUUUUCCAUUAAAUAAAAAUUUUGGGUAGGAGACUCCUCACCUACUGAUUUUAGUAAAAAGUAAAACAUAAAUCUUAUGCGGUAGACUCUCUAACAACUUAUACUUACCUCAACUCUAGAUGAGGUGGUAGGCAUUUCUUCUUAUUGCUGGUUCCUAACAAUUAAUGGCUUUUCCUUAGGGUGUUCCACAAUUGGGGUUAUCUAAUAACACUCAUAUUGUAUCCUCCUGUUUUACAUAUCCAGGACAAAUAGUCACCUAGGUGGAGCAACACUUGCUAUUUUACAUAUAGCAACUGUUUCACCCUCCUCACAUUGCUAAAUUGUUUUUUCCCAAAAAUCUAGAUUUGUGUGUUUGAUAUGCAUGCAUAUAUUUUUUUGGGUAGGUGUGCCUAAAACCUAUGUGUGACCAUAUAUCUUUGGAAUUAAACAAAUGCAUGCAUAUAUACAUACUUAUCUAUCUAUAAAGGAAGAAACUAAUCUCCUUUUCUUCUUUCAUGCAAAGUAACGUUUUAAAAAAAAUGUCCCAUCAUGGGAUACAUUCCAUUGUACCAAUCACAGAAAAGGGACUAGAAAGAAUACUUGAAAGAUUUGCUUCCACAUGAUGGGCAUUGGCUAGAUAUACAGUAGAUAUUUUAGUCCAAAGAUUUCAAUAAAAUUUUCUAGCAUGGAUAAACAUAAAAAUAGAAAAAAAAAUUCCAAAACACAAUCUAUAUAGGAACUACAAGGUUUAAUAGUCAAACUGGAAAUAUCAUAGUUCAUGAGUCAAUAUACAAAAGCACCAUAAGUCCAUUCUUUGAAGUUAGAUAAGAAAAACUAUUACAUAAAAACAAUACAAAUUGAACUAAACUAUGUUCUAUUGCUUGAAACAGUGCAUAAAGUUACUUAUAGAAAAAAUACUAAAACAAACAAAGCAUGAUAACAGAAUUGAAAGUAGAAGAUAGCGAACAAGUAGAAGGAGAAGCAAGGUACGAAGCUACAACUACUUCUACACCUUAGCUUUUUAAGCUAUGAUAGAAAGUUUAUAAUCUUGCUUGGUAUACUUAGGAGUUCUUUUUUGCUUUGGCUUUGCUUGGUACGCUUACGAGUGCUUUUACUCGCUAGAGGGCUUUGACGCUCGUUACGUUGUUGCUUAGCUUCAACGGUUUCCAGCUUUGCCCUUCGCUCACUUACGUUAGGGCAAGACACAUUCUUUGCUUUGUUUACGCCUUUCACUGACUAGUGGAGCUGCUGGUUUAUAGUAAAAUAGGAGGUUAAGACAGAGUGGAGAAGAAGAGGUUACUAGGUAGCUUAUGCCUUUAGGCUAAGGAGCGAAGUGGCUUAGCUGACUAAGCUCGAAAAGACAAGAACAUGUGUAGAAACAAAAGGCAAAGACAAGAAAAGUGUAGAAGUGGCUUAGCUGACUAAGCUAUGGAAAGACAAGAACAGGUGUAGAGCUCAAGAGGCAAAGACAAGAAAGCUGUAAGUAUUGGCUUACACUGACCAAGCUAAGCCAAAGAAAAGUUGAUCUAAGGUGUAGAAGUCUCUUAGCUCGAUAGAGCUAAGGGAAAGAUUGACUGCUUCCACUAUAGCUUCACUUCGCUCACUUAAUGUUAGUUUAGGGCAUCAACACCCUAACUCCUCCCUUCCUACGCUUUGUGCCUUCUAUGUCGCUUUGUUCCUUCUACCUGAGCGAAGAAAGACGCUUGCGCUUCGCUCACUUACAUUAGGCCAACCAGUAUACCUUCACUACGUUUUGCUUAUGCCUCUCACUCUUUUACUAGCACAGCUUUUUCGUAUAAUAUUUGCAAGGUACGAAGGAGAGGAGAAGCAAGGACAAGCAAAAAAGCAAGGUUCACAUAAGUAAGGGAAGGAGUGGUUGGUUACCUGGUCAGUGGUAGCAUGAAGACCAAGUCGAAUGAGCCCUAAGCAGCCUUAAUAAGCAAUGGAAUCCCGCGUUACUACAAAGAAUUCGCAGCUUGUGGAGGCGGAGGAAAUAGCACCAGCGGUAGAGUUAGAGUAGAAGCCUAAGUUGCUCAUGUGGCUGACCCUACUUAGUCUUCACCAUCAGUGAUGGAGGCUCUUGUGUUUUACCUCGACCCAGUACCCGAGGUUUAAUAGUCAAAUAGGAAAUAUCAUAUUUCAAGACUCAAUAUACAAAAGCACCAUAAGUCCAUUCUUUAUAAACUAUGUUCUAUUGCUUGAGGCAAUGCAUAAAGUUACUUCUUGAAAGAAUACUAAAACAAACUAAGCAUGACAACACAAUUGACCAAAACAUUGUUUGAAAGCUUGACAAAAAAAUUUAUUUUCAUCAACUGAGACCUCACUAGUCCCCUUUAAUGAUCAACUAAAUCGGAAGAACCAGCAGGCUUCAGAGAUCUAGUACAUAUGAUAGUUAGAAGAGCAGUUGUGUUAAUGGAGAAUUGAAGCCUCAUAUGGGCAAAGAAGUGUAAGAGCAUCUCUAUUGUAGGCCAAACACCUAAGCAGCACACUCAAAAAUUCUUCAAAGUGAACAUUUCCACCCUUCCUUGCCACAGAUAACUUCGUCCACAAACACCCCAUAAAUCCAAAUCAAGAAGAAAACCCCGACUAGUCGUUGUCACAAGUAAUUUCAUAAUAUCAUCCUUUGACCCAUGAAAUCCAUCCAUUAAAAUGGCAUAAGUGGACUUACUUGCUCCACACCUUUUUUCUAGCAUUUCCUCCAAAACCCUAAAACCUUCACUUAUGGUUCCAGUGAUAGAAAACCCUUUGAUCAACAUACUAUAAGUGAAAAUACUAUCAACACACCCUCUCUCAGGCAUAUCGUCCCAUAAUCGCUUUGCCUCUUGCAACUCCCCAUUCUUCACGCAUUGUUGAUAUAAGUGUAUUAUUUGUCAAAAAACUAAGCAAAAACCCUUUCUCAAACUCAUCGAAAAGCUUCCUCGCCUCUUUAAAUUUCCCGCCCUUACAAAGCCAAGAUAUGAGCAUACUAUAUAUAGCAUUAUCCGGGGUGAAAUUCCUCUUCAAGAGCUUCUUCCAUAGCACACAAGCUACAUCGACCUUGCCUUCUUGACAUAGAAGUUCAACAAUUUUGCAACAUAGGUGACAUCGCCCCUCUUUAUAGCAAGAUUCAAUGUCCACACCAUAAGUGACAUAAUUUGGAAGAACCCCAUUUUCCUCCAUAUCCUUCAUGAGUUUAAUAGCCUCAUCAAUCUCCCUUUUUUAUAGAACCGAUCAAUCAUAACUGUGUAAGUAACUCGGUCAGGGACCCAACCUUGGAUUAUGAUCUCAUCAAAAAUCCUUUUUGAUCUGAUCAAAUGACCACGAGCACAAAUCCACUUAAAAUUAGAGUGUAAGUUACAAGAUUUGGAACAAAACCCUGGCUUGGCAUCUCCUCCAAAACCCUAAAAGUUGAUUCCACAUCAUUCGUUUGACUGAUAGUCCUGAUUAAAAUAUUGUAGGUAAAAACAUUAGGAAAUAUCUCAAAUUUCUGGCAAUUCUUAUACAAUGUGUGAACCAAAUCAAACCUGUUGGUGUGAAUCAUUGCAUUCAAAAGAGUAUUAAAAGAUUUAACUGACUUGUUUAUCCCAAUCUCACUCAUCAUGAAAAAGAAUUGAAGGGCCAUUUUGGGCUUGUUUGCAAAGCCGUAGUUUCGAAUAACAACGAUGAUUUUUUUUUUCACUGCACUGAUUUCUCGAAUCGUUCAACCCGUUUAGUAUAAUUUCCGUGGAAUUGAAAUCCCUACCCCUGGCUAAUUUCUCAAUGAUUGUGUGAUAAGUGUCAGAAUUAUGCGAGAAAUUGGGGUGUUAUUUCCCAGCAUAGUAGAAGAAUUGUAAGGCUUGGUCCACAUUUUUUUGUUGAUUGAUCAUGUUUAUGAGUCUCUUGAGUGAGAGUUGUAGAGGCUAGCGAGUGAGUGGAGGGGUCACCCUGUGUUUGUUUAGGUCUAUUUUAUCAGGAUAAGCAUUGGGAUCAAGGGACUAGGUAUGAAGAGAGAGACUGUUGAAUGUUUAUGAAGAGUGAACAUCGAGAGAGAAAGGGGUUUAAACAGAAGCAUUUCUUUGAUGGGCGUCGAAGCCCGUGCAUCAUCAUUGAUGUCAUAGUAGUUUUGGGUUUCAAUGGAGGAUUUUGAGAGGGAAGAUAGAAUGGAAGAAUUUUUUGGGUUGGUUUGCAUUGCAUAAAUGGGAAGAGUGCGUAGGUAGGAUAAGAAUUUGACGAGUGCUUAUGAAAAGUGGUUGUGGAGAGAGAGGGAGUUACCUCGAAAGAUUUCCUCUCAUCCGUCACCCUUCUUUUCUGGUACUGGUAUGUUUGUUUUUUAGGACGGUCAUGGGAAAUCCCGUCAAUGCUGUGGGCUGUUUUUCUUAUAAGAAAUAUUGGCUCAAAGCUCGUUGUAGAAAGAAAGAAUAUAAGAGAUUGAAGUGCUUGUGUGAGAGAGAGAGAGAUAUUGUGAGGUAGAAAUUGGGGAUUUUGAGCAAAAAUCCUAGCUACAAUUGAGCCCUAUUUUGUGCGAUUAUACUGGUAAUUUCUUUUGUUGGCAGAUCCAUGGAAUUUUAAAAAUAUCGUUUGCUUGCCGGUUGCAUGUGAAUGGAGCAUGAUUUUGGGUGAACCACAUAUAUUUGUGUUGAUAGUACUUGGAUUGUACUUUGUAGUAUGUUGUUCUGAUUCUAGGUUGGAACAAUAUCUAUAAGAUUGAGGCCUUACAUAAUCAAACUAACGCACUCAUUAAAACUUCACUAGAAGUGGUGUUUCGAUGCCAAAAAAACCCUCAAAUCCAAUAAUCUCGACCUUGAGAUACAUCGACUCAAAGAAAGAAUCUAGUAAGUCUUGGAAGUAGUGCAUCUUGUAAUGCAUUGUCUAGACCAUCAAUUUUUAAUAUUUUCAAAUGUUCAUAGUGUUGACUAUAUGGCCUUUUGAAAGAGUAAACCUCUAUGGGGUAUUAGUCUAAUUGAGUUGAUUUUAUGAAAUUUGUCACAUGCGUAUAUCUCUCACAUGUGACCCCCUUUGGCAUGUGUGAUGCGAAGGAUUUUUGAGAAAUAAUUUGAAUUAAAAACCUUAUCCAUAUAGGAUAUUUUUGCAUGUGGAUUUCUCGUGUGGCUUUGUCCCAUAUAUUUAUGCCAUGUGAAUGAUGUUGGUUGUUGAAAUUCCAUUGCCAUGUGAAGAAUAUUGGUGGUUGGAAUUCCAUUGGAAUCUCUACAAUGGACUGAAGUGAAAUUUUUUUAUGGGACAAGGGUGAUAAUGAUGUCAAAUCUCAUCCAUUGAUCUAGGUGGUCUAAUGGGGAUAUGUGACUAGGAUCAUGGCCUCUCAUGUGCAAUAGAUGAGGAGCACCAAUGGCUAAGAUCGCUUCACAACUUACCACUUAAUGAGUCUAGAUUUCAAAAAAUGAAAUCUUAAUGUACUUAAACAACUGAAAUCUUAAUAUACUUAAUGAGUCUAGCUUUCAAAAAAACCAAGUCUCAUGAUAAAAUUUUCUAUAUUUUGAAAGUUAUGGUUAUUUUGUUAGAGGUAUGUCAACCUAUAUUUUAUGCUACAUAAUCUAGAAAUUGCCCUCUGAAUGACAGGAUACUUAUGACCCAUUUGAUUAAAUGUUUUUGUGCUUUGCCCUAAUGUUUCUUGAUUCAUUUUAAAUCUACUCUAAGUAUGAAAAUCCAUCAUAAGCAAAUGAUAUGUAUUUUUGAAGUUAUGACCCAAGAAUCAAAUGAUGUUCAACUUGAAAAACCAGAAAACUGUGUAUAUGACAUCCUAGAGUAGGCUAGAUAAAGGUAUAUUACACUUUAGUGCGAUUCCAUUGAGGCACAUGGAUUGAUAUGUCUUUUCAGACAUCAUGGAAUGCAUUAGGUCAGUGGGAAUAAUGGGUAAAGCUCCUCUAAACCUUGAUCACUUAGCUUGAUACCCGAGAUCCUAUAUUUGAUCAAGUUCUGGGAUACACUAGAAAAAUGUUCGGAGGUAUUCCCAAACAAGACUAAAGGUUCAUUAGGAUAGAUUGGGCCAUGAGUAUGUUCAUAAUUAGAGACAAAAUGGAGAAAGGACAACAUGGAUCGAUGAUGAAAGGGUAUGACUGUGAGUCGGUCACUAAAAGACUGCAAGGUAUGACUUUUUCCUACCUUUGUGCAUGAUUUAAGUAUAUUAAGAUUUCAUUUGUUUAAGAGCAAUCAUCUUAACUUCAUGUUGUCUUAGGAUUAAUGAUUAAUAGAAUAACUUUUGGCAUGUUAAAUUUUUAUUAUGAUUAAAAAGCAAGGACUACUCACAUAAUCUAUAAACUUCAAAUAUGUCAAUACUACCAUUUUGUCAUUCUAGGUUAUGCUAUCCAUAGGAUUUAGGGGAAAUGUGUAUUUAAAGAUUGGAGCUUGCCUUAGAGUAGCUGUUAUUUUUACCAAAAUUGUUGACCUUCUAUGUCAUGAAGGCAAGGUUGAUGAGGCUUGUGUGUUAUGGAAGAAGCUCUUGAAGAGGAAUUGCACCGUAGAUAAUGCUAUAUAUAGUACACUCAUAUAUUGGCUUUGUAAGGGUGAGAAAUAUAGAGAGGCGAGGAAGCUUUUCAAUGAGUUUGAGAAAGGGUUUUUGCCAAGUAUUUUGACAUAUAAUACACUUAUAUCAGCAAUGUGUGAGAAAGGGGAGUUGCAAGAGGUAGGGAGAUUAUGGGAUAAUAAGCUUGAGAAAGGGUGCGCUCCUAAUGUUUUCACUUACAAUAUAUUGAUCAAAGGGUUUUCUAUCACUGGAAGGGGAAGUGAAGGUUUUAGGGUUUUGGGGGAAAUGCUAGAAAAAAGGUGUGAAGCAAAUAAGUCCACUUCUCCAUUUUAAUGGAUGGAUUUCAUAGGUCAAGGGAUGAUGUUAUGAAAUUACUUGUGGCAACGACUAGUCGGGGUUUGUUUCGGGACAAGGUUAUCUGUGACAAGGAAGGGUGGAAAUGUUUACUUGGAAGAAUUUUGGAGUGUGCUGCUUAGGUGUUUGGCCUACAAUAGAGAUGCUCUUACACUUCUUUGCCCAUAUGAGGCUGCAAUUCUCCAUUGAUACAAAUGCACUUAUAGCUCUUAUGGGUUUGAAUUUUGAAGGUAUAUCUAGAGGUUAAACUGGAUGUCGCAUACGUUCUAAAUCUUUGAAGCCUGCUGGUUCUUCAAGGGCUAAUGGGUGCUAAAUGAAAAUUAUAGGUGUUCCCUUUCCACAAAAGGAGUGUGUCUCAAAAGAAAUCCAUGAACAUUGAAUGUAGUUGAAGGUGUAAAGUCAUCUGUCAUGAGCUUACACAAGCCACAAACGAGUCAGAAAGUAUCAUGAUGAAGGAUCUAGUCAAGGAUGUGGAUAGACUUGUUUCAUGCCUCGCAACAAAGGUUUAUCGUCAUAUUCCAGGAUAUGUUCAGUUGGAGUUAGUUUUCCUUGUAAGCUUAUUUGACUACUUUUGAUAGGUACCCAAGACUUUUUACUUCAGUCUUGCUAGCGCAUCUUCAAGGUCAUGUAAAUAUGUCCUAAACACCCUUAUGCUGGCAUGUUUAUUUGUACCACUUUUAUGUGAUUAUGCUGGCCUGAUAUUGUGUUGCUUUGGGAAGAAAAUUCAGUAAACCAUAUGAUUUGUGCAGACAUUUCAAAUUAAAAGGCUAGCUCACGCUGUAAUGGAAAGUAUCCUCAACAUCCUUAUUACUGAGCUUCUUGUAUGGCUUUUGGAUGAAAGAGUUCCUUUAAUGGAUGAUGGAAGCCAACUUUUGAAGGCUUUAAAUGUUUUGAUGCUAAAGAUUCUGGAUAAUGCUGAACGCACUUUAUCCUUAGUCAUGCUGAUCAAUCUCUUGCGGCCUUUAGAUCCCUCAAAAUGGCCAUUGCUUGUAUCUGGUUCUCCACAGUACAAUAUUUGAGGUGGAUCUUGAUCGUAUUCUUCAAAUUAUACAUCAAUAUUUACAAGAACUAGGAAUGGAGGAAAUACGAAAAAGGCUUAUUAUCAGGCCAAUAGUUUUCCACUUCUUACAUUAUUAAUUAGGACAUUGAACCUGACCAAUUGAUAAUUGUCAGAGCUGGGGCUGAUGACAAGCCACUGCGUAUGGUUAAAACUGUUCGACAUGAGCUUGUUAAGCUUCGGGAAACUGCAAUAAAGGGUCACCUCUCCAUGGUUCCUAUAGACUUGGAGCGUCAGCCAAUUAUACUGGCAUAUAUCGACCUUAAUCUCCAGACUCUUACAGCUGCUAGAAUGCUGACACCAUCAGAGCCUAUUGGCCAAACACACUAGGGUGACUCUGUUUACAAUGGACCAUCACCCCUACACAUUCGGCAUAUGCACAAUUGAAGGUGCCAUUUCAACUUUGGAACUUAUACUGGAAAUAAAAGUCAUUUGUUUCCUACAUUCUUUAUCCAGCAUCUUUUUGUUCUUUUCAUGAGUACAAGAAGAGCUUGCUGCGGUCUUCAAGAAAAUCAGUGACAAGCAAAAUGCACCAUUGGUUUGUAUGAGCUUUAACGGAUCACACAGUUAUACCCCAAGGUAUAUCAUUUUGUACUUGCAUCAUGGCCUUAGUGACUGAUUCAAGAGGAACAAAAAGAAGAAUAAAUGUAUUUAUCAGAUGAGGGCUUUUGUCUUCUGUAAUGGAACUUUGUUUCUUCUCUAUGCAUACGGGGGUGGGGGAAGGUGGCUUAAGGUUAGUUUAAAUUGCACAGGACAAACCUUUAAGAAUUGGUACCCCCUUGCUCUCUGCCGUGCAAACAAGGUAUUGGUCCAGUAGAACAAAGGUUUGGGGACAAUUUCAGUGGGCAGGGAGGCAGGGAUAUUAUUGAGUAUUGACAUUUAACAUUGGGUCUUUCAGGUUCAUAUAUUUUCGCAACUACAGAAUGAGUGAGGCAUUUCGGACAUAUAAUAGAUGGAUUAGCAUAGAGAAAUACAGCAGUUGGAAGGACACCUUAGAGCGUGCCAAUGUCGACUCAUCCUGUUGCCAUAAAUCUCUCCUCACCAAUUCUUGCACCUAUGUCCCCUGUAGCAGCAGGACAAUGUGAUGAAGCCUCCUGAACUUACAACCAACUCUUUGGUUGUUGAAGUUGAUGAUGCCGCUACCAUGUUCAGUCGUGAUGUCUCAUAAAAAAGGCCGAUGAACAGAUUAUCUGAAUUGAGUAAGCAGCGUCCUGUUCCGAAAGUGGACCAUGAUGAGAAAUAUGCAUUUGCAGGUAAAGGGAUCAUGACACGUCCCUCCCCUUCCGGGAGAUUGAAAACUAUGUAAUUUGUUGUGCUUUUAGAUUGGGCUUCCCUCUCGCUUUUGAAUUGGUGGACAACUGCAUGCACUAGUGGGACAUUGGAUGCUAUCCGAGAGAGAAUGAAGAGCAUGCAGGCAACUGCAUCUUCUAGGAAUAUAGACGGGGGUGGGGGUGGCAAUGUGGAAGUUGUGAUGAUGCCAACAAAUGUUCUUCCUCUGGAUGAGAAGGCAUUGUCGGGUCUCCAGGCUCGCAUGGAAAGGCUAAAAGGCAGUGCAGGUGGUGCCCAUGUGGAUGGGAGUGAGCUUCUUCCUUGUUUCAAAUUUGAGUGUUGGAGAGAGAGAGAGAGAAGAAAAAAAUGAUUGAGUUUGUAAAAGU